AUUGAACGCUGGCGGCAGGCCUAACACAUGCAAGUCGGACGGUAGCACAGAGAGCUUGCUCUUGGGUGACGAGUGGCGGACGGGUGAGUAAUGUCUGGGGAUCUGCCCGAUAGAGGGGGAUAACCACUGGAAACGGUGGCUAAUACCGCAUAACGUCGCAAGACCAAAGAGGGGGACCUUCGGGCCUCUCACUAUCGGAUGAACCCAGAUGGGAUUAGCUAGUAGGCGGGGUAAUGGCCCACCUAGGCGACGAUCCCUAGCUGGUCUGAGAGGAUGACCAGCCACACAGGAUCUGAGACACGGACGAGACUCCGACGGGAGGCAGCAGUAGGGAAUAUUGCACAAUGGGCGAAAGCCUGAUGCAGCCAUGCCGCGUGUAGGAAGAAGGCCCUCGGGUGGUAAAGUACCUUCAGCUCGGAGGAAGGCGGUGAGGUUAAUAACCUCGCCGAUUGACGUUACCCGCAGAAGAAGCACCGGCUAACUCCGUGCCAGCCGCCGCCGUAA
rnacentral:rRNA from 1 species